rnacentral:rRNA from 1 species
CACGGGGGGCGCAAGCGUUAUUCGGAAUUAUUGGGCGUAAAGGGCGCGUAGGCGGUCUUAUCGGUCAGAUGUGAAAGCCCGGGGCUCAACCCUGGAAGUGCAUUUGAAACAGUAAGACUUGAGUACGGGAGAGGAAAGCGGAAUUCCUGGUGUAGAGGUGAAAUUCGUAGAUAUCAGGAGGAACACCGAUGGCGAAGGCAGCUUUCUGGACCGAUACUGACGCUGAGGCGCGAAGGCGUGGGUAG